GACGAACGCUGGCGGCGUGCUUAACACAUGCAAGUCGAACGGAAAGGCCCUGCUUUUGUGGGGUGCUCGAUUGGCGAACGGGGGAGUAACACGUGAGUAACCUGCCCUUGACUUUGGGGUAACUUCUGGAAACUGGGGCUAUUACCGGAGAGGAUCUCCUGCUGCAUGUUGGGGGUUGGUAAAUGUCGGCGGUGGUGGAUGGACUCGCUGCUUACCCGCUUGUUUGGGGGGUAGGUGCGUACCAGGGCUUUGACGGGUAGCCUGCCUGAGAGGGUGACCGGGCACCUUGGGACUGAGGUACGGCCCAGAAUGCUACGGGAGGCAGUAGUGGGGAAUAUUGCACAAUGGGCGGAAGCCUGAUGCAGCAGCGCUGCGUGCGGGAUGACCGCCUUCGGGUUGUAAACAGAUGUCGAAUGUGCCGAAGCGAGCGUGACGGUAAUGGGUGAAGAAGCCCCGGCUAACUACGUG
rnacentral:rRNA from 1 species